AUACGUAGGGUGCGAGCGUUGUCCGGAAUUACUGGGCGUAAAGAGCUCGUAGGUGGUUUGUCGCGUCGUCUGUGAAAUUCCGGGGCUUAACUCCGGGCGUGCAGGCGAUACGGGCAUAACUUGAGUACUGUAGGGGAGACUGGAAUUCCUGGUGUAGCGGUGAAAUGCGCAGAUAUCAGGAGGAACACCGGUGGCGAAGGGGGGUCUCUGGGCAGUAACUGACGCUGAGGAGCGAAAGCAUGGGUAGCGAACAGGAUUAGAUACCCUGGUAGUCCAUGCCGUAAACGGUGGGCGCUAGGUGUAGGGGUCUUCCACGACUUCUGUGCCGUAGCUAACGCAUUAAGCGCCCCGCCUGGGGAGCACGGCCGCAAGGCUAAAACUCAAAGGAAUUGACGGGG
rnacentral:rRNA from 1 species